AUUUUUAGGAGCCCAAAAGUGUAGCACAAAUGUUUCACACUGACAGGGACAUUCCUUUUCCUUUGCCCAUUUCAGAGCUGCUCAGAAGACUCUGCUGAUCAGCAAAAAGAAGAAAUGAGGCAACAGCCAACAGCAGAAACAACAUGCCAAAACCUGAAGUGGAAUAGGGCUUGGAAGCCUUCUACAGCAAAGAGAAAAUGCUGCCAAGUGCCAGUGGGCACACGAUGCUGGACUGUGUGGAGCAGGAUCAUAUCCUGACCCAGCAUGUUCAGAAAUAUGUUACAUACAGGCACCCCCAGUAUCCCAGAUGGACUUUGCUUUAACCUGCCAUGAGUCCAUUUUGAAGUCAGCUGGAGCUGGGGGAAGAUCCUGACCUCUGCUCCCAGGGGCUGCACCCUCUCCCCAUGCUUGCCAUGAAAAACCAAACACAGUCUGUGUCCCCCAAUAC
rnacentral:lncRNA from 13 species